AGCGAACGCUGGCGGCAGGCCUAACACAUGCAAGUCGAACGAACUCUUCGGAGUUAGUGGCGGACGGGUGAGUAACACGUGGGAACGUGCCUUUAGGCUCGGAAUAACUCAGGGAAACUUGUGCUAAUACCGAAUGUGCCCUUCGGGGGAAAGAUUUAUCGCCUUUAGAGCGGCCGGCGUCUGAUUAGCUAGUUGGUGAGGUAAAGGCUCACCAAGGCGACGAUCAGUAGCUGGUCUGAGAGGAUGAUCAGCCACAUUGGGACUGAGACACGGCCCAAACUCCUACGGGAGGCAGCAGUGGGGAAUCUUGCGCAAUGGGCGAAAGCCUGACGCAGCCAUGCCGCGUGAAUGAUGAAGGUCUUAGGAUUGUAAAAUUCUUUCACCGGGGACGAUAAUGACGGUACCCGGAGAAGAAGCCCCGGCUAACUUCGUG
rnacentral:rRNA from 1 species